rfam:Veillonella sp. CAG:933 genomic scaffold, scf106
GGUUCAUCAAGAGUUGACUGAGGGACUGGCCCUAUGAAGUCGCGGCAACCAUCCGGUAAGGAACGGUGCCAAUUCCAACGAAGCUAGGCUUCGACAGAUGAAGA